CACCGAUGGGAUCGCUAAGCCGCCGUCCU
rnacentral:sRNA from 1 species